CCAACAUUCUAGUCGGACCCUUUAGACUCAAACCUUUAGAGUGUUACACCGCCUAAAGCUUUCUGGCUGACACAUGGCCAAUUACCUGACUAGAGGAAGAAGCAAGAACCACGAAGAAUUAAAGACAGGUGCUGGUCCUGCCAGGAUGUGGAUGUGUCUGGAAGAGUUGGAUGAAAAGCAAAAGGACCCUCAGUGAUAUUUAAUACUUCUGCAACAUCACUGAGCUCAGUCUAGUAUUCCUUAACCUGAUGCACCAGAUGUUUUGGAAAAGGGCAGGUGACUUGACGGGUGAUUGGAUGAACCAUCUGUAAAUCAAACUCUUACUGAAACCAGUCAGGAGAAGAGCGGAAACAUCAAGAAAAACCUUUCAGAGCCGUUCCUUGCUCUUCUUUGAAUAAAAGACAUACUCUCCAGUACUGAUGCUAUUGCAGAAACGAACGAAAUCAAUCAGUCACCUCUCCGUGUCGUCUCACACACCUUAACCAUGCCCUUAAGGAUGCUCAAACGCAUUACUUGAAGCCGCACAAGAUGGAUUUUCGUGUGAUCUCAUGAUCCCGCAAUUUUCUUGGGAUCUUAUGAUGUUUCGAGAGUGCAGUGCAAGGUAAAACAUUCUUAGUGUUCCCUUUGUGUAUUGAAGGGUGGUGGGUGGGCUGCAGCACGUCAGACUUUCAUAUGGGAGAUUAGAUUUGUGACUUGCUAUCACAGACUUGCAACAGACAUGUUGGAAAAUGUAUUUGCUUUCUUGUCGAGGGUAAAAUGAGAAAAAUCAGUACCACUCUAAUAUUUGUAUGGCAAAUAUGAAGUUAACGCCAAUAGGCUGGCUAACUUAGCUUAGCACAGAGACUGGGGACAGGGGGAAACAUUUAGCCUGGCUCUGUCCAAAGGCAAUAACAUCGACCUACCAGCCUCUCUAAAGCACACUAAUGUUUAUACAAAGUGUAAAAAAUGACUAGUUGAUUGAACCAAGGUAUUAUUCUAUUCUAUUAAUAAUAAACAAGCUCUCACAUUUAAAAAUCCACAUUAAUAACGAAAGUCACAACAACAACAGCCACGCCACCAUUUCUCCCCAGGCUGUAACUGCAGCAUUCUCAUUAAACAUUUGAGAGCAGCUGCUGUUUACUUUGCUGUCACAUAUUGUGUGACCUGUUUGGGCUGUACAGAGAACUCUGUCAUUUUCUGUUUGUGACUGUGAUUACCACGCAUAUGCUUUUUUCCAAAAACCUGCAGGACUGUGUCGAUUUGGCUCUGUAAUGUUUGUAGGACCUCGGAAUGAGAGCGGGUGGGUGGCUGUAUUUGGGCUGACAGAACUCAGUGUGGGGCUGACAGGGGAGACAGUGAUUACUCCUGAGUGUCCGCUGGCGUUUUGCCUUCUUCCACAUCUCUCCUCUCCGCAGGCUCUGCUGUGUAACAGUGACAGAGACUGCAGCCCUGCUUGCCAAAUGGUCUCGGCUGCUGUUGUAAUGCUGGAGAGAGACACACACGCACACAAGACUGAUACCCUGAAACUCAUGUCAUUAAGGGCUUAGCUGAAAUAUUAGUUUGCAUUUUUAUAAAAGACUUGUAAUAUGGUGGCUAUGAUUAAUUUGUUUCAUUAUAUGUUGAUUUAAUAACACUACACUGUCCAAAGAAAACACUGAUUUGUA